rnacentral:rRNA from 1 species
CCUACGGGAGGCAGCAGUGGGGAAUAUUGCACAAUGGGGGAAACCCUGAUGCAGCGACGCCGCGUGAGUGAAGAAGGAAUUCGGUAUGUAAAGCUCUAUCAGCAGGGAAGAAAAUGCCGGUACCUGUGUACGAAGCCCCGGCAAACUACGUGCCAGCAGCCGCGGGAAUACGUAGGGGGCACGCGUUAACCGGAUUUACUGGGUGGAAAGGGGGCGUAGACGGGAGUGCAAGGCUGGCGGGAAAGGCUGCGGGUCAACCCCCGGACUGCCCUUGAAACUGGACGGCUGGAGUGGACGAGAGGUAAGUGGAAUGCCUAGUGUAGCGGUGAAAUGCGUAGAUAUUACGCGGAACUCCAGUUGCGAAGGCGGCAUACUGGCCUCUAACUGACGUUGAGGCACGAAAGCGUGGGGAUCGAACAGGAUUAGAUACCCGUGUAGUC